UGGGGAAUAUUGCACAAUGGGGGAAACCCUGAUGCAGCGACGCCGCGUGAGCGAAGAAGGCUUUCGAGUCGUAAAGCUCUGUCCUAUGAGAAGAUAAUGACGGUAUCAUAGGAGGAAGCCCUGGCUAAAUACGUGCCAGCAGCCGCGGUAAUACGUAUGGGGCGAGCGUUGUCCGGAAUUAUUGGGCGUAAAGCGCUCGUAGGCGGUCUGUUAGGUCGGCAAGUUAAAUCCGGGGGCUCAACCCCCGUCCGCUUCCGAUACCGGCAGACUUGAGUUUGGUAGGGGAAGGUGGAAUUCCUAGUGUAGCGGUGGAAUGCGCAGAUAUUAGGAAGAACACCGGUGGCGAAGGCGGCCUUCUGGGCCAUAACUGACGCUGAGGAGCGAAAGCUAGGGGAGCGAACAGG
rnacentral:rRNA from 1 species